rnacentral:rRNA from 1 species
AGAGUUUGAUCCUGGCUCAGGAUGAACGCUGGCGGCGUGCCUAACACAUGCAAGUCGAACGAUUAAGGCGCCUUCGGGCGCGAAUAGAGUGGCGAACGGGUGAGUAACACGUGACCAACCUGCCCCCUACCCCGGGAUAACGCAAGGAAACCUGCGCUAAUACCGGAUACUCCUUCCCCUGCUCCUGCAGGGGUCGGGAAAGCCCAGACGGUAGGGGAUGGGGUCGCGGCCCAUUAGGUAGACGGCGAGGUAACGGCUCACCGUGCCUGCGAUGGGUAGCCGGGUUGAGAGACCGACCGGCCACAUUGGGACUGAGAUACGGCCCAGACUCCUACGGGAGGCAGCAGUGGGGAAUUUUGCGCAAUGGGGGGAACCCUGACGCAGCAACGCCGCGUGCGGGACGAAGGCCUUCGGGUUGUAAACCGCUUUCAGCAGGGAAGAAGUUGACGGUACCUGCAGAAGAAGCCCCGGCUAACUACGUGCCAGCAGCCGCGGUAAUACGUAGGGGGCGAGCGUUAUCCGGAUUCAUUGGGCGUAAAGCGCGCGUAGGCGGCCCGUCAAGCGGAACCUCUAACCCGAGGGCUCAACCCCCGGUCGGGUUCCGAACUGGCAGGCUCGAGUUUGGUAGAGGAAGAUGGAAUUCCCGGUGUAGCGGUGGAAUGCGCAGAUAUCGGGAAGAACACCGAUGGCGAAGGCAGUCUUCUGGGCCAUCAACUGACGCUGAGGCGCGAAAGCUGGGGGAGCGAACAGGAUUAGAUACCCUGGUAGUCCCAGCCGUAAACGAUGGGUGCUAGGUGUGGGGGGAUCAUCCCUCCGUGCCGCAGCCAACGCAUUAAGCGUCCCGCCUGGGGAGUACGGCCGCAAGGCUAAAACUCAAAGGAAUUGACGGGGGCCCGCACAAGCAGCGGAGCAUGUGGCUUAAUUCGAA